rfam:Georgenia sp. STBG003 Ion020_assembly_c63, whole genome shotgun sequence.
CCACCCCCGCACGACGAGGUCUCUCACCGCGACUCUGACGCACUUCCCCGGCGUCAGAGCAGGCGGAGGGAGUCCUGGUCGGGCGGUGGAGGGCCC